rnacentral:rRNA from 1 species
UACGGAGGGUGCAAGCGUUAUCCGGAUUCACUGGGUUUAAAGGGUGCGUAGGCGGGCAGGUAAGUCCGUGGUGAAAUCCUAUAGCUUAACUAUAGAACUGCCAUGGAUACUAUUUGUCUUGAAUAUCGUAGAGGUAAGCGGAAUAUGUCAUGUAGCGGUGAAAUGCUUAGAUAUGACAUAGAACACCAAUUGCGAAGGCAGCUUACUAUGCGAUUAUUGACGCUGAGGCACGAAAGCGUGGGUAGCAAACAGG